CUACGUUUAAAUUUAGAGAUACUUCCUCAAUCGUGAUACUUGAGGAAAACUUCAGUGCCCUAACAUCUUACUUUGAAGUUCGAGAUAGAAUAUGAAUGUCACGACCGACCAAUGUUUUUUCGGGUUUGAAACUGCAAAGACUGAAGAGAAGCAGGAGAGUUGUGUAUUUUUAUCAGUAACUGUUCCCCCUUGUAAUGAAGACAGAUACAAUAUUGAGUAUGGAGUGGAUAAUUUAUUGUUUGAGGUGGACUGCAACAAUCAUGAAGAUGAAAAAGCCACCGAGCAACAAUUAGAUAGCUGUUUACAUGUAGAAUGUUCAGUUGAAAUUGUUUUCGACAAUAAUAAUUAUAUGAGUGCAAAAUAUGUUACAACAAAUAUAGGACAAAAACUGGCUACAAACGAUAUUUAGUAAGUACAUAUUUGGAAGAUAUUUGUUUUAGCUUGUAAAAACAUUUUUGCAUAAAAAUUUAAGGUUUGUUGUAGAUACCAAAAACAUAAUUAUAAUUUUUGUUGUGUAUUGUUAUAAUCUAUAGAUUUUGUUGAAGUCUGUCAAGGCCAAUGUUACUGAAAUUAUAGAGAUUUACCGGUAGUUCAAUAAUGUUUGGAAAUAUGUAAUUGAUUAUGUGCAUGUGGGCAGACCGAAUCAUUUAUCACUCUUAUGAAAAUAGAGAAGCUGUGCCGACAGUGGUAUACAUUGUACAUGUACUACUUAUUGGAAUCCUGUAUUUGUCGAGUUCCAUAAUUAUUUUCUUAAUACUGUUAGUAGACAGUGUUCAUAUCAAAUAAAAAUAUAUCAACAUAAUAGAUGAUAUCCCUUAUAUUGCCAUGUGUACAAUGUACAUAAUUGUUACCAUUUCAGACAUCUUUAAAUGUCAAAUGACAUAAUUUGAAAUUAAUGUUAUAAACUCUGAAAUAUUUUAA